UGCUCUUCCUAUCAAGGGAACUCAUGUUCUCACCUACUAGGAAAAGUCAGAGAGAAAUUUCUUGAAGAAAAAGGGCAAUGGACCUGAUUCCAAACUUUGCCAUAGAAACAUUGGCACUGCUGGCUACCAUCCUGAUGCUCUUGUACC